rfam:Myotis davidii contig191776, whole genome shotgun sequence.
CCCUCCGACAAAGGUGUGUCUGUGGGUCCUGUCUUUGGACAUGUAAGAACUGGAGGCAAAGAAAUGGGACUUGGAGAAGUCUGGAGCCAGCUUGCUCCCUGCAGGCUCAAGAUCAGCCAUCCCACAAGG